rnacentral:rRNA from 1 species
UGGCGGCCGCGGGAAUUCGAUUGUGGCAGGGGCGGCGGUAAUACGGAGAGUGCAAGCAUUAAUCGGAAUUAUUGGGCGUAAAGGGCGCGUAGGCGGGAAGAUAAGUCAGAUGUGAAAUUCCGGAGCUCAACUUCGGAGCUGCAUUUGAAACUAUUUUUCUAGAGGAUUGACGGAGAAAACGGAAUUCCACGUGUAGCGGUGAAAUGCGUAGAUAUGUGGAAGAACACCGGUGGCGAAAGCGGUUUUCUAGUUUAUACCUGACGCUGAGGCGCGAGAGCAAGGGGAGCAAACAGGAUUAGAUACCCUGGUAGUCCUUGCCGUAAACGAUGUACACUUGAUGUAGCUGGGCUCAACCCUGGCUGUGUCGUAGCUAACGCGAUAAGUGUACCGCCUGGGGAGUACGCUCGCAAGGGUGAAACUCAAAAGAAUUGACGGGGGCCCGCACAAGCAGUGGAGCAUGUGGUUUAAUUCGAUGCAACGCGAAGAACCUUACCCAGGCUCGAAAUGUAAUGGGCGCAAUCAGAAAUGGUUGUUUCCGUAAGGACUAUUACAUAGGUGCUGCAUGGCUGUCGUCAGCUCGUGCCGUGAGGUGUUUGGUUAAGUCCAGCAACGAGCGCAACCCUUAUCAUUAGUUGCCAACGCGUAGAGGCGGGUACUCUAGUGAGACUGCCUAGGUUAACUAGGAGGAAGGUGAGGAUGACGUCAAGUCCGCAUGGCCUUUAUGUCUGGGGCUACACACGUGCUACAAUGGUCGGUACAGAAGGCAGCAAGACCGCAAGGUGGAGCAAAUCCGUAAAGCCGAUCUCAGUUCAGAUUGUAGUCUGCAACUCGACUACAUGAAGUUGGAAUUGCUAGUAAUGACGUGUCAGCAACAACGUCGUGAAUACGUUCCCGGGCCUUGUACACACCGCCCGUCACAUCAUGGGAGUUGGUUUUACCCGAAGUCGAUGACUUAACCGCAAGGAGAGAGUCGCCUAAGGUAAGGCUGAUGACUGGGAUGAAGUCGUAACAAGGUAACCAAUCACUAGUGAAUUC